rnacentral:rRNA from 1 species
CUUGACCGCUGGCGGCAGGCCUAACACAUGCAAGUCGAACGAGGGGCGGACGGGUGAGUAAUGUAUGGGAAUCUGCCCGAUGGAGGGGGAUAACUACUGGAAACGGUAGCUAAUACCGCAUACUAUCGGAUGAGCCCAUAUGGGAUUAGCUAGGUGGUGGGGUAACGGCUCACCAAGGCGACGAUCCCUAGCUGGUCGGAGAGGAUGACCGGCCACCCUGGAACUGAGACACGGUCCAGACUCCUCCGGGAGGCAGCAUUGGGGAAUAUUGCCCAAUGGGCGCAAGCCUGAUGCAGCCCUGCCGCGUGUAUGCAGAAGGCCUUCGGUUUUUAAAGUACUUUCAGCGAGGAGGCGUUACUCGCAGAAGAAGCACCGGCUAACUCCGUGCCAGCAGCCGCGGUAAUUC